rnacentral:rRNA from 1 species
AUGAACGCUGGCGGCGUGCCUCAUACCUGCAAGUCGCGCGAACAGACGAGGAGCUUGCUCCUCUGACGUUAGCGGCGGACGGGUGAGUAACACGUGGAUAACCUACCUAUAAGACUGGGAUAACUUCGGGAAACCGGAGCUAAUACCGGAUAAUAUAUUGAACCGCAUGGUUCAAUAGUGAAAGACGGUUUUGCUGUCACUUAUAGAUGGAUCCGCGCCGCAUUAGCUAGUUGGUAAGGUAACGGCUUACCAAGGCGACGAUGCGUAGCCGACCUGAGAGGGUGAUCGGCCACACUGGAACUGAGACACGGUCCAGACUCCUACGGGAGGCAGCAGUAGGGAAUCUUCCGCAAUGGGCGAAAGCCUGACGGAGCAACGCCGCGUGAGUGACGAAGGUCUUCGGAUCGUAAAACUCUGUUAUUAGGGAAGAACAAAUGUGUAAGUAACUAUGCACGUCUUGACGGUACCUAAUCAGAAAGCCACGGCUAACUACGUG